GGAAUCUUGCGCAAUGGACGGAAGUCUGACGCAGCGACGCCGCGUGGGUGAAGACGGCCUUCGGGUUGUAAAGCCCUUUUCUGGAGGAAGAGGGAGGACGGUACUCCAGGAAUAAGUGUCGGCUAACUACGUGCCAGCAGCCGCGGUAAUACGUAGGACACGAGCGUUAUCCGGAUUUACUGGGCGUAAAGCGCCUGUAGGCGGUUCUUCAAGUCGUUUGUGAAAGCCCUGGGCUCAACCUGGGGAGGCCAAGCGAUACUGGAGGACUUGAGGGUGACAGAGGGGAGUGGAAUUUCCGGUGUAGCGGUAAAAUGCGCAGAUAUCGGGAGGAACACCAGUGGCGAAGGCGGCUCCCUGGGUCACACCAGACGCUGAGAGGCGAAAGCUAGGGGAGCGAACA
rnacentral:rRNA from 1 species